GCCUAGCUGGCUCAGUCGGUACAGCAUGUGACUCUUGAUCUUGGGGUUGUGAGUUCAAGCCCCGUGUUCGGUG
rnacentral:tRNA from 1 species